GGCCAGGUAGCUCAGUUGGUAGAGCAGCGGAUUGAAAAUCCGCGUGUCGGCGGUUCGACCCCGUCCCUGGCCACCA
rnacentral:tRNA from 1 species